UCAUCUUUUUUUUUAUUUACCUUCCUCAAAGGUUUCCGCACGUUUACCCAAACCCACGAAGCUGUUGUCGCUAUUCAACGGCUGUCGUGGCCUUCACCGUCACACUAAUCAAGAUCUCCUCACUGUUUCGAGUCAACCCAGCCAUCCUUGCCUCUAGCAUCGUCGAUUUCUUCUUUGUCGUCUCGUUUCACCUUUGCGAUUUCUUGUUUUUGGUUUCUGGUUCAAUCUGGUUUUUUCUUCAAUCUAGUCGUUCAACAUAAUCAUUUAUUUCUGAAACUUGAUCAUAAAAUCUCAUUUUUUUUAUCUUCAUCUGGGAGACCACGAGCCUGUAGGAAGCAGCUGCAAAGAAGAAAAUUGCAAGUUAAGGGCUUCAGGGUGAAGUUUCACUAGGAAAGUGAAUAUGGCCGAUUCUCAGGAUCCUUUCGACCCUUCGAAGCGCAAAGGAUAUAUGUCAUGGGAUGACUAUUUUAUGACAAUUGCAUUCUUAUCUGCUAAGAGAUCCAAAGACCCAUACUGGCAGGUCAUAAUUUUUUUGCUAAGUGGUUUCAAUUUUGCAUUCAAUCAUGUAUAAUCGUAGCUACCCGAAGUGCUUAAUUUUGCAGUUGGCAUGUUUGUUUGAAAAACUAUGUUAAAACUAAGAACUUUGAUUUUAGUAUUUGUUUUGUUUUGAUUUGUUUUUUUGGGUUGGUGCAUGCUUGGUGAGUCAAAACGGUAUAAUACUUGGUAAGAUUUUUGCUUGAAUUGCAAUCGUAAGAGUUGAAGUUAGAAAUAAAGGCAGGCAUUGUUUAUGGAUUCUAGUUCCUUUUUUUUUUCAGGCACGGCUAUAAUGGGUUCCCGAGAGUUUGUUCUGAUGACAAGCUUCCUUGGGAAAAGUCAAUGCGAUCCUGAAUACAAAUCAUGCAUCUGCAGCUGGCCAGGGACUUUAUGUGAUCAUGUUCCCUGAUAAUGAAUGUGCAAAGAUAAAUCAUUCAGGUUUGGUAAGCUAAUUGAGAUUAUGGUAUUGUGUGUGUGUGUGUAUAUAUAUCCCUCUUUAAGUCCCUGGUUUCAUUGGUGUCGGUUUUCAUUGCUAAGAUAACCCCAACAAACCUUAGAGGGGCUUUAUUAACGAUACAUCAGGGACUUUAUGUGUGUAUAUAUAUCAAAUUCUUUUUUUUCUCGAAGCAUUCAAGUCCGUCACUCGUAUCAGGCACAUUCGCACCUUCUUCCUAAUUAACAUAGCUUUACGAAAUCGAUAUUAUGUCAGGUUGCCAUUGCCUCUGGUCUGCUGGUGGCAUAUACAGUAGGAGCAUUAGUUUCUCAGAGAACAGUGGCUUUAACUAGUAAGUUAGUUUAGUGCAUUGUGUUUAUGGAAAGAAAAUUUUCAAAUUAGAAACAAUACUUUAGUCAUUGUGUCCAUGUGCAAUUAUGAUUUUGGGGCUUUAUUUCUUCUCAGAGUCCUCUAGAUGGCUGGUAAGAACAAUUUCUUACUGUAAA